rnacentral:rRNA from 1 species
GAUAGGUCUGUGGCCGAUUAGGUUGUUGUUGAUGUAACGGACCAACAAGCCUACGAUCGGUACGGGUUGUGAGAGCAAUAGCCCGGAGAUGGGUUCUGAGAGAAGAACCCAGGUCCUACGGGACGCAUCAGGCGCGAAAACUUUACAAUGUGCGAAAGCACGAUAAGGGAACUCUGAGUGCCUCCUAAGGAGGCUGUUCAGAUGUUUAAAAAGCAUCUGGAGGAAGGGCUGGGCAAGACCGGUGCCAGCCGCCGCGGUAACACCGGCAGCCCAAGUGGUAGUCAUGCUUACUGGGUCUAAAGCGUCCGUAGCCGGCCGGGUAAGUUCCUUGGGAAAUUUGAUCGCUUAACGAUCAAGCUACCUGGGAAUACUACUUGGCUUGGGACCGGGAGAGGUCAGAGGUACUUCAAGGGUAGGGGUGAAAUCCGUUAAUCCUUGGGGGACCACCAGUAGCGAAGGCGUCUGAUCAGACCGGAUCCGACGGUGAGGGACGAAGGCUAGGG